UACGUAGGGGGCAAGCGUUGUCCGGAUUUAUUGGGCGUAAAGAGCGUGUAGGCGGCUGGGUAGGUCCGCUGUGAAAACUCGGAGGCUUAACCUCGAGACGUCGGUGGAAACCAUCCAGCUAGAGUCCGGAAGAGGAGAGUGGAAUUCCGUGGUGUAGCGGUGAAAUGCGCAGAUAUCAGGAAGAACACCCGUGGCGAAAGCGGCUCUCUGGGACGGUACUGACGCUGAGACGCGAAAGCCGUGGGGAGCGAACAGG
rnacentral:rRNA from 1 species